rnacentral:rRNA from 1 species
GAUGAACGCUGGCGGCGUGCCUAAUACAUGCAAGUCGAGCGAACAGAUGAGGAGCUUGCUCCUCUGACGUUAGCGGCGGACGGGUGAGUAACACGUGGAUAACCUACCUAUAAGACUGGGAUAACUUCGGGAAACCGGAGCUAAUACCGGAUAAUAUAUUGAACCGCAUGGUUCAAUAGUGAAAGACGGUUUUGCUGUCACUUAUAGAUGGAUCCGCGCCGCAUUAGCAUGUUGGUAAGGUAACGGCUUAACAAGGCGCCGAUGCGUAGCCGACCUGGGAGGACGAAGGGCAACAGUAGACGUGGAACAAGCGCCAUAGUCCUUCUGGUGGCAGCAGUAGUGAAACUUACGCAAUUGGCGAAAUCCUGACGGAGCAACGCCGUGUGGGUGAUGAAGGUCUUCGUAUCGUAAAACUCUGUUAUGAGGGAAGAACAAAUGUGUAAGUAACUAUGCACGUCUUGACGGUACCUAAUCAGAAAGCCACGGCUAACUACGUG